GUGCUCUCUCUGGCUGCACAUACACUAAAACUAGAACCACAGAAGAUUCGCGUGGCCCCUGCACACGGAUAACAUGCAAAAUCAGUAAGUGUUCCACAUUUUU
rnacentral:snRNA from 1 species